rnacentral:rRNA from 1 species
UUAAAUUGAAGAGUUUGAUCAUGGCUCAGAUUGAACGCUGGCGGCAGGCCUAACACAUGCAAGUCGAACGGUAACAGGAAGCAGCUUGCUGCUUCGCUGACGAGUGGCGGACGGGUGAGUAAUGUCUGGGAAACUGCCUGAUGGAGGGGAUAACUACUGGAAACGGUAGCUAAUACCGCAUAACGUCGCAAGACCAAAGAGGGGGACCUUCGGGCCU